rnacentral:rRNA from 1 species
UUAAAUUGAAGAGUUUGAUCAUGGCUCAGAUUGAACGCUGGCGGCAGGCCUAACACAUGCAAGUCGAACGGUAACAGGAAGCAGCUUGCUGCUUUGCUGACGAGUGGCGGACGGGUGAGUAAUGUCUGGGAAACUGCCUGAUGGAGGGGGAUAACUACUGGAAACGGUAGCUAAUACCGCAUAAUGUCGCAAGACCAAAGAGGGGGACCUUCGGGCCUCUUGCCAUCGGAUGUGCCCAGAUGGGAUUAGCUGGUAGGUGGGGUAACGGCUCACCUAGGCGACGAUCCCUAGCUGGUCUGAGAGGAUGACCAGCCACACUGGAACUGAGACACGGUCCAGACUCCUACGGGAGGCAGCAGUGGGGAAUAUUGCACAAUGGGCGCAAGCCUGAUGCAGCCAUGCCGCGUGUAUGAAGAAGGCCUUCGGGUUGUAAAGUACUUUCAGCGGGGAGGAAGGGAGUAAAGUUAAUACCUUUGCUCAUUGACGUUACCCGCAGAAGAAGCACCGGCUAACUCCGUGCCAGCAGCCGCGGUAAUACGGAGGGUGCAAGCGUUAAUCGGAAUUACUGGGCGUAAAGCGCACGCAGGCGGUUUGUUAAGUCAGAUGUGAAAUCCCCGGGCUCAACCUGGGAACUGCAUCUGAUACUGGCAAGCUUGAGUCUCGUAGAGGGGGGUAGAAUUCCAGGUGUAGCGGUGAAAUGCGUAGAGAUCUGGAGGAAUACCGGUGGCGAAGGCGGCCCCCUGGACGAAGACUGACGCUCAGGUGCGAAAGCGUGGGGAGCAAACAGGAUUAGAUACCCUGGUAGUCCACGCCGUAAACGAUGUCGACUUGGAGGUUGUGCCCUUGAGGCGUGGCUUCCGGAGCUAACGCGUUAAGUCGACCGCCUGGGGAGUACGGCCGCAAGGUUAAAACUCAAAUGAAUUGACGGGGGCCCGCACAAGCGGUGGAGCAUGUGGUUUAAUUCGAUGCAACGCGAAGAACCUUACCUGGUCUUGACAUCCACGGAAGUUUUCAGAGAUGAGAAUGUGCCUUCGGGAACCGUGAGACAGGUGCUGCAUGGCUGUCGUCAGCUCGUGUUGUGAAAUGUUGGGUUAAGUCCCGCAACGAGCGCAACCCUUAUCCUUUGUUGCCAGCGGUCCGGCCGGGAACUCAAAGGAGACUGCCAGUGAUAAACUGGAGGAAGGUGGGGAUGACGUCAAGUCAUCAUGGCCCUUACGACCAGGGCUACACACGUGCUACAAUGGCGCAUACAAAGAGAAGCGACCUCGCGAGAGCAAGCGGACCUCAUAAAGUGCGUCGUAGUCCGGAUUGGAGUCUGCAACUCGACUCCAUGAAGUCGGAAUCGCUAGUAAUCGUGGAUCAGAAUGCCACGGUGAAUACGUUCCCGGGCCUUGUACACACCGCCCGUCACACCAUGGGAGUGGGUUGCAAAAGAAGUAGGUAGCUUAACCUUCGGGAGGGCGCUUACCACUUUGUGAUUCAUGACUGGGGUGAAGUCGUAACAAGGUAACCGUAGGGGAACCUGCGGUUGGAUCACCUCCUUACCUUAAAGAAGC